rnacentral:rRNA from 1 species
GUGCACGCUGGCGGUAGGCCUAACACAUGCAAGUCGAACGGCAGCACAGUAAGAGCUUGCUCUUACGGGUGGCGAGUGGCGGACGGGUGAGGAAUACAUCGGAAUCUAUUUUUUCGUGGGGGAUAACGUAGGGAAACUUACGCUAAUACCGCAUACGACCUACGGGUGAAAGCAGGGGAUCUUCGGACCUUGCGCGAUUGAAUGAGCCGAUGUCGGAUUAGCUAGUUGGCGGGGUAAAGGCCCACCAAGGCGACGAUCCGUAGCUGGUCUGAGAGGAUGAUCAGCCACACUGGAACUGAGACACGGUCCAGACUCCUACGGGAGGCAGCAGUGGGGAAUAUUGGACAAUGGGCGCAAGCCUGAUCCAGCCAUACCGCGUGGGUGAAGAAGGCCUUCGGGUUGUAAAGCCCUUUUGUUGGGAAAGAAAAGCAGCAGGUUAAUACCCCGCUGUUCUGACGGUACCCAAAGAAUAAGCACCGGCUAACUUCGUG